rnacentral:rRNA from 1 species
GCGGCGGACGGGUGAGUAACGCGUGGGAAACCUGCCUUGUAGAGGGGGAUAGCCUCGGGAAACCGUGAUUAAUACCCCAUAAAGCUUAAAAUUCGCAUGGAAAUUAAGUCAAAGCUUUAGCGCUACAAGAUGGUCCCGCGUCCCAUUAGCUAGUUGGUGAGAUAAUAGCCCACCAAGGCAACGAUGGGUAGCCGACCUGAGAGGGUGAUCGGCCACAUUGGGACUGAGACACGGCCCAAACUCCUACGGGAGGCAGCAGUGGGGAAUAUUGCGCAAUGGGGGAAACCCUGACGCAGCAACGCCGCGUGAGUGAAGAAGGUCUUCGGGUCGUAAAGCUCUGUCCUUGGGGAUGAAUAAUGACAGUACCCAAGGAGGAAGCCCCGGCUAACUACGUGCCAGCAGCCGCGGUAAUACGUAGGGGGCAAGCGUUGUCCGGAAUUACUGGGCAUAAAGAGUGCGUAGGCGGCAAGUUAAGUCAGAUGUGAAAGUCCAAG